rfam:Strongylocentrotus purpuratus Contig144251_fixed, whole genome shotgun sequence.
CCAACAGUCCUUUUCAGGACUACCCACAUGGUGAAACAUAUUAAU